rnacentral:rRNA from 1 species
AUACGUAGGUGACAAGCGUUAUCCGGAUUUACUGGGCGUAAAGGGCGUGUAGGCGGUCUUGCAAGUCAGAAGUGAAAUUCCUGAGCUCAACUCGGGCGCUGCUUCUGAAACUGCAGGACUUGAGUGCUGGAGGGGAUAGCGGAAUUCCUAGUGGAGCGGUAAAAUGCGCAGAUAUUAGGAAGAACACCGGUGGCGAAGGCGGCUAUCUGGACAGUAACUGACGCUGAGGCGCGAAAGCGUGGGGAGCAAACAGGAUUAUAUGCCCUGGUAGUCCACGCCGUAAACGAUGAAUACUAGGUGUAGGGGGUAUCGACUCCCUCUGUGCCGCAGUUAACACAAUAAGUAUUCCGCCUGGGGAGUACGGCCGCAAGGUUGAAACUCAAAUGAAGUGACGGGG